UUAAUUGAAGCCAAAAAGAGGCCUAUCACUGUUAAUGAUAAAAUUGAGACUUAUACUCCAAUUAAA
rnacentral:tRNA from 1 species